ACGGGGCCGAGCCUCUCCCCAGUGCGCUGGGGCCCUGCGCUGGGGGUGACCGGGACCUGGGUCGGGGAACCCCCGGAUGGGAGCCCAGGCGCGCCAGGGUCCCCAUCCACGAGCAGGUCGACCCCCCGCGAGAGGGGGUGUCACAGAAUCAUGGACUGAGUCCACUUGGCCCCCACUGCACAGAUGGGGAAACUGAGGCCUGGGAGAGUGGAGUGGCUGGCCUCAGGCCACACGGAAAGGCCCCACCUCUUCCAGAACCUCCUGCUCUUCCUGUGGGCCCUGCUGAACUGUGGUUUGGGGGUCAGUGCUCAGGGUCCGGGCGAGUGGACCCCGUGGGUGUCCUGGACCCGCUGCUCCAGCUCCUGCGGGCGUGGCGUCUCUGUGCGCAGCCGGCGCUGCCUCCGGCUUCCUGGGGAAGAACCGUGCUGGGGAGACUCCCAUGAGUACCGCCUCUGCCAGUUGCCAGACUGCCCCCCAGGGGCUGUGCCCUUCCGAGACCUACAGUGUGCCCUGUACAAUGGCCGCCCUGUCCUGGGCACCCAGAAGACCUACCAGUGGGUGCCCUUCCAUGGGG
rnacentral:lncRNA from 1 species